GUUGUGUAUAUAGGGUAAAUGAUAACUUGGAGUAGUUUUUUUUCAUUUAUUUCAGCUAUUUGUGUUCGAUUGUCAGUGUUCGACAUUUCUAGAUCUAUUAACACUAAAUAUGAAAAUCCUUGUUUGUCGCACCAGUUAUUUGACCAUGUAAUCACUAUCUACAUAUAAUCUGGAUAAGUAUCUAGGAUGGGGAAAGCAAGGGGUGAGCUCAAGUAAAUAAUGAAAUUCCUUCCCAAAAACCAUUUAAAUAUGGUUACGGUAAAUAUACGGAAAUAGCAAAUCACUGUUAAUAAUUUAAUUUGCUUGUCUUCGUUUGGCAUUAUAUUGGCCACUCCAUUCUAUCUUCUGCUGUUCCUUCUUUGUUAGAACACAAGUGCUCAGUUUUUAGUAUUAAGUAUUGAAUUGCCUUAAUAUUAUUUAAAAUUCCUUCUUAAUAGCAGUAUUGGUCUUGUCUUCCCCAUUUCUUAUAUAUUAUAUAUUUUUGUGAAAAUUAUUUGGUUGCCAUCAUUUCAAAAAUAUAACAUAGCAUAGCAUUUUAUUGUAACAAAUACAGUUAUCUAUUCUGAUGAAUUCUUUAUGGAGGAAAGGAGCAUCUUUGAAGAGUGACAUCUUAAAAAGUAUGCUGUGUCGGAGCUUAUUUUAAUUACAUGUUCAUUUGUGUUGCUUUUGAUAAAAUGUUCAGUCUAUUAGUAACUUUGUUGUAGAAAAACUAUGAAAACCUUAAUUUUGUCAUAGUGGCCAUUUGACAAGCAAUACCAAGUUAGUUGUUGUGGUCAAUAUUUUUUACACUGUAAAAUAAUAGUGGGGUUGAAUGUAUGUGGUUUGAUAAAUGACUUUCAUAUAAUGUAAUUAGGAAAAUACUUUAUAGAUUUAAAACUACUGCUAAUUGAGAAACAUCACUCGCUGUGUUUUCAGGUUAAGUCGUCUUUCAGACAUUUGUCUUUGCUCAACUGUGAAAUCCCUGAAGAAUGUAAAUGUUUGCUGUUCUUGGUUUCUUGCUCAAGACGUUUUGUGCAAGUUUCAUAAUGGAGAAAAAAGUGAUAGAAAUUAAAAAAUAAAAUAA